rnacentral:rRNA from 1 species
CCUUGACAUACUAAGAACUUUCCAGAGAUGGAUUGGUGCCUUCGGGAACUUAGAUACAGGUGCUGCAUGGCUGUCGUCAGCUCGUGUCGUGAGAUGUUGGGUUAGUCCCGNAACGAGCGCAACCCUUUUCCUAUUUGCCAGCGGGUCAUGCCGGGAACUUUAAGGAUACUGCCAGUGACAAACUGGAGGAAGGCGGGGACGACGUCAAGUCAUCAUGGCCCUUACGGCCAGGGCUACACACGUGCUACAAUGGUCGGUACAAAGGGUUGCUACCUCGCGAGAGGAUGCUAAUCUCAAAAAGCCGAUCGUAGUCCGGAUCGCAGUCUGCAACUCGACUGCGUGAAGUCGGAAUCGCUAGUAAUCGCGGAUCAGAAUGCCGCGGUGAAUACGUUCCCGGGCCUUGUACACACCGCCCGUCACACCAUGGGAGUUUGUUGCACCAGAAGUAGGUAGUCUAACCGCAAGGAGGACGCUUACCACGGUGUGGCCGAUGACUGGGGUGAAGUCGUAACAAGGUAAGCGUAGAUGA